rnacentral:rRNA from 1 species
GAUGAACGCUGGCGGCGUGCCUAAUACAUGCAAGUCGAGCGAACGGACGAGAAGCUUGCUUUUCUGAUGUUAGCGGCGGACGGGUGAGUAACACGUGGAUAACCUACCUAUAAGACUGGGAUAACUUCGGGAAACCGGAGCUAAUACCGGAUAAUAUUUUGAACCGCAUGGUUCAAAAGUGAAAGACGGUCUUGCUGUCACUUAUAGAUGGAUCCGCGCUGCAUUAGCUAGUUGGUAAGGUAACGGCUUACCAGGGCAACGAUGCAUAGCCGACCUGAGAGGGUGAUCGGCCACACUGGAACUGAGACACGGUCCAGACUCCUACGGGAGGCAGCAGUAGGGAAUCUUCCGCAAUGGGCGAAAGCCUGACGGAGCAACGCCGCGUGAGUGAUGAAGGUCUUCGGAUCGUAAAACUCUGUUAUUAGGGCAGAACUUAUGUGUAAGUAACUGUGCACAUCUUGACGGUACCUAAUCAGAAAGCCACGGCUAACUACGUG